GCCUAAAGCGUCCGUAGCCUGCUGUGUUAGUUUUCGGUUAAAUCCAUCUGCUCAACAGAUGGGCCGCCGGAAAUACUGCACAGCUAGGGAGUGGGAGAGGUAGACGGUACUCGGUAGGAAGGGGUAAAAUCCUUUGAUCUAUCGAUGACCACCUGUGGCGAAGGCGGUCUACCAGAACACGUUCGACGGUGAGGGAUGAAAGCUGGGGGAGCAAACCGGAUUAGAUACCCGGGUAGUCCCAGCUGUAAACUAUGCAAACUCAGUGAUGCAUUGGCUUGUGGCCAGUGCAGUGCCGCAGAGAAGUCGUUAAGUUUGCCGCCUGGGAAGUACGUACGCAAGUAUGAAACUUAAAGGAAUUGGCGGGGGAGCACCACAAGGGGUGAAGCCUGCGGUUCAAUUGGAGUCAACGUCAGAAAUCUUACCCGGAGAGACAGCAGGAUGAAGGUCAAGCUGAAGACUUUACCAGACAAGCUGAGAAGUGGUGCAUGGCCGUCGUCAGCUCGUGCCGUGAGAUGUCCUGUUAAGUCAGGUAACGAGCGAGAUCCCUGCCUCUAGUUGCCACCAUUACUCUCAGGAGUAGUGGGGCGAAUUAGCGGGACCGCCGCAGUUAAUGCGGAGGAAGGAGGGGGCCACGGCAGGUCAGUAUGCCCCGAA
rnacentral:rRNA from 1 species